GUAGGAGGCAAGCGUUGUCCGGAAUUACUGGGCGUAAAGGGUGUGUAGGCGGGACGGUAAGUCGGGCGUGAAAUCCCACGGCUCAACCGUGGAACUGCGCCCGAUACUGCCGACCUUGAGUACGGGAUAGGAGAGUGGAACUCACGGUGUAGCGGUAAAAUGCGUAGAUAUCGUGAGGAACACCGGUGGCGUAGGCGGCUCUCUGGCCCGAUACUGACGCUGAGACACGAAAGCCAGGGUAGCGAACGGGAUUAGAUACCCCGGGUAGUCCUGGCCGUAAACGAUGGGCACUAGGUGUGGGAGGCAUCGACCCCUUUCCCGUGCCCGAAGCUAACGCAUUAAGUGCCCCGCCUGGGGAGUACGAUCGCAAGGUUG
rnacentral:rRNA from 1 species